CCUACGGGUGGCUGCAGUGGGGAAUAUUGCGCAAUGGGCGAAAGCCUGACGCAGCGACGCCGCGUGAGGGAUGAAGGUCUUCGGAGCGUAAACCUCUGUCAGCAGGGAAGAAAGGUCACUGUGCUAAUCAGCAGUGAAUUGACGGUACCUGCAAGGGAAGCACCGGCUAACUCCGUGCCAGCAGCCGCGGUAAUACGGAGGGUGCGAGCGUUAAUCGGAAUGACUGGGCGGAAAGGGGUCGUAGGCGGUAUGUCAAGUCAAGGGUGAAAUCCCCGCGCUCAACGUGGGAACUGCCUUUGAUACUGGCAAACUUGAGUGUGUGAGAGGAUAGGGGAAUUCCAGGUGUAGGAGUGAAAUCCGUAGAUAUCUGGAGGAACACCAGUGGCGAAGGCGACUAUCUGGCACAUAACUGACGCUGAGGAGCGAAAGCGUGGGUAGCAAACAGGAUUAGAUACCCUGGUAGUC
rnacentral:rRNA from 1 species